rnacentral:piRNA from 1 species
UAGAAUAUCCCGUAAAAUGCCAUUCUGCC